rnacentral:tRNA from 1 species
GGGGACAUAACUCAGUUGGUAGAGUGCUUGCCUGGCAUGCUGCACAAGGUCCUGGGUUCAAUCCCCAGCAUCACCA